AUUGAACGCUGGCGGCAUGCCUUACACAUGCAAGUCGAACGGCAUCGCGGGAAAGCUUGCUUUCCUGGCGGCGAGUGGCGAACGGGUGAGUAACACAUCGGAACGUACCGGCUAGUGGGGGAUAACCCGUCGAAAGACGGGCUAAUACCGCAUACGCUCUUCGGAGGAAAGCAGGGGACCUUUGGGCCUUGUGCUAGCCGAGCGGCCGAUGUCCGAUUAGCUAGUUGGUGGGGUAAAGGCCUACCAAGGCGACGAUCGGUAGCGGGUCUGAGAGGACGAUCCGCCACACUGGGACUGAGACACGGCCCAGACUCCUACGGGAGGCAGCAGUGGGGAAUCUUGGACAAUGGGGGCAACCCUGAUCCAGCAAUGCCGCGUGGGUGAAGAAGGCCUUCGGGUUGUAAAGCCCUUUCGGCAGGGAAGAAAUCGGCGGGGCGAAUAACCCUGCUGGAUGACGGUACCUGCAGAAGAAGCACCGGCUAACUACGUG
rnacentral:rRNA from 1 species